GGUAUAAAUCCAAGCAGUGUUUCUCCUGAUGUUGUGUCCCACGUUGCCUUCAGUGUUCAGCUGAGAGCAGAGAAAUCAUUUCCAUAGAGAGGAGGCUUUGCAUGGUCAGCUGAUCCUCCAGUGAACUGAGAAGGUUUAUAGUCCUGUGAGUUCAACACUGCAGGACUCACAUCUGUCAGUCAACACAGCAGAAAGCACAACCACCAUGACUCUCAUCACCAUCCUCAUCUGGACGCUGGCCUGCUGCUGUUUUACAGGAUGCAGCGGUCAGGUGACUGUGACUCAGCCUCCAGUAGUGACAUCUGCUCCAGGAUCCACUGCCACUCUCACCUGUAACACCAACCAAGCUGUUUACAGAUACAGUGAUGGUGAUGAUGCUAUGUUCUGGUAUCAACAGAAAUCUGGACAGCCUCCAAAGCUCCUGAUAAAAUAUGCCAAAACACUUGAAUCUGGAACACCAGCUCGGUUUAGUGGCAGUGGAAGAAGCUCUGCCUUCACUUUGACCAUCAGUGGAGUUCAGACUGAAGAUGCAGCAGUUUAUUACUGUCAGAGUUACCACAGUGGUGGAGUGUUCACACAGUGAUUCAGAGCCGUACAAAAACCUCCUUCAGUUUGACUGAAGUGAAAACGGCCUGCUGCAGGUGCAGAGGGUUGGUGAAGAGACUGUGAUGAGGAGAACUGGUCCAGUGAACACAAGAGUCAUCAAGCAGAACCACAAUGAACCUAAAGAAAACUGAAACAGACUCACAGACAUUUUUUCAUAAACACGUUUUAAACUUCAGUACAUUGCAGUAAAUUAAAUAUUUUUAGGUGUAAAAUGAUAAACGACCAUUUAUUAUUGGAUUUCAACUACUGAUAUCAAAAUAAGUACAAUAGUGUCUGUUAAUAGCUGCACUAAACAGUCUAAAACUAAAACAGUCCAAAGCAGAAAGGGAUAUUUCUGUUUAUUACAAUUUAUUUUAUUAACUAAAGUGAUUUCAUUUCAAAAUGUAAGAUUUUAUAUUCAGAUGUCACA